UGGGGGAUAUUGCACAAUGGGCGAAAGCCUGAUGCAGCGACGCCGCGUGGGGGAUGAAGGCCUUCGGGUUGUAAACUUCUUUUGCUCUGAACAAGGCGCACCAUGGGGUGUGUUGAGUGUAGGGGUUGAUUAGCGCCGGCUAACUACGUGCCAGCAGCCGCGGUAAUACGUAGGGCGCGAGCGUUGUCCGGAAUUAUUGGGCGUAAAGGGCUUGUAGGUGGCUGGUUGCGUCUGUCGUGAAAGCUCAUGGCUUAACUGUGGGUUUGCGGUGGGUACGGGCUGGCUUGAGUGCAGUAGGGGAGGCUGGAAUUCCUGGUGUAGCGGUGGAAUGCGCAGAUAUCAGGAGGAAUACCGGUGGCGAAGGCGGGUCUCUAGGCUGUUACUGACACUGAGGAGCGAAAGCAUGGGGAGCGAACAGG
rnacentral:rRNA from 1 species